UUUGCGUGUGUGUGAUUUUUUGGGGGAAGGAGGGGAGGCUGGGUUGAUUUUUUUAUGGUUUAAUAAAGUAGAAGAAAAUUUAUAAGAAAUUUAUGUUCUGAUUUGAAUCCUACUGAUGCUCAUGGGAAUCCCUUUAGUGAAUAUUGGACCCAGUCCAAGAAAAGCAGGCUAUUAUUCCCCUCACUUCUAUUUAUCCAUAGCUGUGUCCUUCUGCUUGCAAUCUUGUUAGAGUUUGCCAGUAGAUUUAGUCUGAGCCUCAUCAGCGGGGAACCUGGAUAAGAAACUAUGGUCAGCUGCCUCUCAGCUCUGAGCCAGUCUUCCUGAAAGAGUGACAGCAACUUUGGAUGUCAUGACUGCGUGACACGCAGCUGCAACCUUGACCUGGUAGGAUCUCCUACAGUCAGACCCAGCACAGGGGUAUGUGACUUUUCUUUCUCUGUCAUGCUCUAGCCUGCUCUGCCAGCUGGAUGAUUUAAGCACACCAAAACCAGAACAGCUCAAUAAAAUGGUUUCUGCGUGAACAGUUCAAUGAAAAUAUCUGUGAUUGGUUGUGGUAGAAAAUGCAAAUUAAAAACCCUUUCGGAUAUACAAAAGAAAGACCAGAAAAUCACCCUGUGUUGCCAGGACCAGAACAAAGGCAGGCACUUGGAAGCUGUUCCCUGGAGGUGUUUGAAGAAUGUGUAGUUGUGGUACUAAGGAAGAUGGUUUAGUGGGCAACAUUGGUAAUAGGUGGACAGUUGGACUGGAUGAUCUUAGUGUUCUUUUCCAGCCUUUAUGAUUCUAUGAUUCUAAGCAACCUGGGCAGCUGGCUAUGAGGAAGCAGGUUCCAGCCCUGUCUCUGCCAAAGAGUUUCUGGCUGCUCUCUUUAGUGUGUAGUUGCUAAACCUGUGCACCUGCCAUGGAGGAGGUCAAUGAGAAAUCCUGGCUCUUGUUUCAGUGCCCUAGGGACAUGGGAAUGCUUUUGGGGAGUUUUGUACUUGCAUCACUUGCAUCUGCGCUGUCCUUGGUAAAUGUGUUUGAGUUCCAAGAGGUUAGAGUCAGGAGUACUUGUGCUGCUUGGAAGGACAUUUCCUACAUGGACCAGGCUCUUCUCUGCUGUUCAGAGAGCACGACAGUGUAUGGGACAGGUGGUAUGAACAGUCAGUGAGCUUGGGCUUGAAGCCUGAGCUUUGAGUUAUCCACUCACAAGUCUAUCAGCGCUUGGGAAUUCUGACUGAAGUUACGUCAAAGCCCAGGUACAAAGGCAGGAUGUAAAGCUUGCAGGAGUCAUUUUCAUCCUCUCUCCUUGGCUUCUGAUUGAGUUCAGAUCUGCACCAUCUCUUUCUUACUUCAGCGCUGUGUGUGUGGUGACACGCAUACUGACCUAUGUGUGCACAUGAGGAAGACCUCCAGAGCUGCGUCUGCUUCAGACGUGGCACUGAUGUCACCCCACGGAUGUUGCCUUGCUGUGAACAACGCAGUGGAUCAAAGUUGGUGUUAUUUCUUCUGUGGAGCACAGGGACCUCAAGGAUGGCUCUGGUGCAGCUGGCGCUCCCACGGUGGGCAAACACAGCCCGUGCCAGCCCUCUGCCCAACGUGCCUUCAUACCGCGGGGGUCAGAUUGGGCCGAGGCAGGUCCUAGGUGAGUGCUCCCACUGCUGAGCCUGCAGCUUGGUCACCAGCACCCUCCAGCCAGCCACAUAAACAUCACCCACCGGGCUCUGCUGCCCAUCCCCUGCUCCCCCAGCCAAGGGUCACGAGCUGCGGCCAGCAGUCGGCUGCCUAACGCGGCCGUGGCUCUGUGCAGCCAGCCUGCGAGAGGUCGUCACACGCCUCCUUAAGCAAACAGGGAUCCACGCCAGUUGAUAAAUCAUUUACGAGGAGAAGUCAGAAGCAAGGAACUAGAUUAACCAGGUCACUGGGUGUCCUGAGGGAAUGACGUGUCAGUGGAGCUGAAACAGCAGAUCCCGCAGUUGCAAUCUGUUGCCUUCUUCUGUCCUGACAGCAAUUCAUGGAAAUCCCUGGAACUAGACACUAGUGAUGGAAAAAUCCAUUAGCUCAUCCAAGUCAGCUUGCUAGUUAAAGCAGUCACUCCCAUUGUGCAUUUUUUGGCAGAGUUAAAAUGUCUCAAGAGAGGGGAUUUCCACCAGUUCCUUCUCAAGGGGAAACUAUUCCACCUAUCGGGAAAGCUGCCUCCAGUGGUGCUAUUUUUGUAAAAGAGAAGUAACUCCAAGCCCGAAAGGGAAAACAGAAAGGUUCUGAUGCAGAAACACAGGCAGCAGUAGUUAGUUUUCCCUGGCAGACAUGUGCCAUGCACAGCACAUCUGCAAUGGGAACACCAGGGGCCCACGUGUGUUUAUAUACAUCCACCUAGGUGUGUUUGUGUGUAUGCACAGCCUGCCUCUCCUUCCUCAGGCAGAUUAUGACCUUGUGCCUCCCUGGAUAAUCGACGUGUCGUAUCGUGAUCUCACAACCAGUUUACACUUAUGUAAUGCCACUGGCAUCAAGGUGAAAAAAACUGCUAAAUUGCUUUGAGGAGGGGACAGACGCGUGAAAAAAGAAAGGCACCAGCUGAUGCUGCUCCUCUGGCACACGCUUCCUGUCUGCAUGGGGACAUGGCAUGUCCCUUAGGGGCCUCAGUUCCCCAGCUGUGUGCCAGGCACAGCGACCACCCUCCUGGGGUCUUGUGGCUGAACGCAACCACUGGCAGCACCCUGCCUGCAGCAGUUGGGAAGGUGCUGCAGUGCAGAGAUAUGUUGAUGAGGCUUGUCGGCAGAGGCUAUGGAGAUUUUGGCAAACAGGAUUUCAGCACCUGGGAAGCACUGUGGGACAGUGGAGAAAUAAAUGAGCUGUGUGAUUGUGAUGGCAUUUAAGUCCUUAUCAUUAGUUUCAGAGCAAGUUCUGCAUUCAGAUCAAUGGGUGUAGCACUCAUUGCUGAGCUAGAACCUGUAGAGAUAGGGAGGAUUGCUCUGUGCUCCCAUUCAGAAAGCUCUCAGCCACCAGAGCUGUAACUUGCAGUCCUGGUGCCUCAGCUCAGGAGCAGGGCUCCGCAGCUAGGGUAGAUACAAUGGCUAUAUUAGCAGCAAACAAACCCCACAUUAUCAAGGGCCCUGAUUACCAGUGUGAUGGGGUGUUGGCUAUAUGCCUCUUAUGAGAAGAAGGCGGGGUACUGCCUGGGUGUUUGCCCUGGAUUCUCAAUUAGUUGUUUUAUGUACCUCUCAAAACCUCACUGCUGGCACUGCUGCCUUCCCCUUCUAGGACACCUGACAUUCAGGCACCAUGUUUUGCACAGAUUUGACAGCCACAUACCCAUCAGUUACAUUGAGGCUGCUCUUGUGAGCACCCUCUGCAUGUUAUUGCAGGGUGGCUCGUGAAUUCUAUGCCGUGCAACCCUGGCUUUGGGAUGGGUGUGCUGCUUUGCAGGGCUCUACUUUGUUUAGCACAAGCCACAUUGAAGCACAAAUGACAUCUGUGAGGACUGACAUGGUGUGGAAAGGGACCUAAUCAAAAAAGCAUGGGUCAAAUCCUGGGCCUUGGCUGGGUCCCUUUAAUUGCUGUAAAGUCCCAGUGCCAGUUGACCUACUGAGCCCCUUGCCCCUUGCACCGUGCAGGGAUAAGAGCAGGUAAAGCCCAGUAACAGUUUAACUAUGAGAUUAACUCUGCCAGUGCCACUACAGAGGGUCCUCUGUUUCUCCAGACAAAAGGUGCUGACUCCAGGCUCCCCAGCACGUUGGCCCAUGUUCUCCAUCUCCUUCACCCACACCCUGCAGUUCCAGCCUGACCCUCGGCGAAGGCAGGGAACCUCGGCUCUGUAGCCUUAGGUGCUACUGCCUGAAAGACGGCCAGAGAAAGAGCCAUCUUCCUCUCCAUUCCACUACAUCUACAAGGUCCCAGUGCUCUGCAGAACCACACACCAAGGUAGGAUGAGAUGCAGGGAGGCCUGUGAACAGUCCAGGUGCUCGGUUGUCUAUCCUUCAUGCUCCUAAGCACCACUGAAACCCUGGUUUCUCAUGCUUUGAAUUUCAUGGGCGUUUGGCUGUGCAGGACCAGGCUCCUGAACUGUCCCAAAGAUGACAAAGAGGUUCCUUCUUUGGGCUUCACUGUGGCAGUGAAUGGUUUUGCAGCCGGCUAGGCAAGAGGCAGCUAGGUGUGAGCUUAAUGAGGAUGACCUGCCUCAAAGGUUUCAUUUAGAAGAAGAAAGUACCAAGUGUUUUACUUAAAAAUGAACAGAUGUGUAGAGCGAAUUCUACCCUCCACUCGGAUAUGGUGAAUCUGAUCACAGCGCAUCCUGCCCAGACCUGAGAACAGACAGACAGACAGACCUGUGUCACAAAGUGGAACAGACUGAUGUGAACUCACCCGCACCAAGCUGGGGACGAGUGAAACCACGCUCGUGCAGACAGCAUGGAAAGCAAGCAGAGGUGAUAAGGAGCGGGGGUGUUAGUUGUUGUUCUUGAUUCUGCGUGGGAGAGAGGAGCAAUAUUGAUGAAGACUGUAAACAGCAAUAGGUGCCACCAAGUAAUGGCAACAUACAGCCCUGAAUGUACAGCUGCCAUUAGGCACCGAGUGCCUCUCUGCUGAACGCUCACACCAAGGGCAGCUUGGCUUCCAACAAGCGCCCAGCACUGCCAAGAGGCAGCACCCCCUGAGAACCGGGCUGCAGUCCUGAUGACCGUGUGCUGUGAGAGCCGUUUGCACCGGUGAGACAAAUACUUUCCUUUCACUGCUUCACAGAACUACGUUUCUCUUAGUUACUUGCACCGAGUGUGUGGGGCUGCACUAAUGCAGGCCUGGCUGAGAAGGGGAAACAGGAAUAGGGAUGGAGACAGAGACAGGGCCAGGGCCAGCCCUGCCCAGCACGCAGAUCGAGGCAGGUCCUCACAGUGCAGUGGAGUUGACCGACACCCCGGUGCAGUGUGUGUGUACCGUGUGAUGUGGUUGAGCAGCACACAGUCAUGUUCAGCUGCCUGCCCUGUUAUUGUGAGCAGCCUUGUGCUAGUUUCAGGCGUAAUAACAUCGUGACAUAACAGCACACCAUGCUGUGAUGACACCAGCACACGGAGUAAGCCACGGUGAUCUGAUCUCAUUCUGUACAUGCUGAGAUGCACACUGAUGGCUCCCAGGACAUGUGGGCGGCAGGUGGAUGGGGCUGGCACGUCCCAGCACCAGGUGGGAACAUGACUCCUGGCAAUGUCAGGGCUAGGAGCUCGGCUCUGCAGCUCCAGCUCUGCCUCAACUGCGGCCGAUGAGUCACUGCAUCUCUCUGUGCUCACUUCUUCCAUCUGUGGAAAGGUGACAAUAACAUUUCCUCACCUUACAGGGGGUGGGAGGUGUGUGCAAGGAUGAAUGAAUGUUUACAAAGCACCUCUGAGCAGCACAGGCUGGUUGGACUGUGACUGGGAGGAACCAGCGCUCGCUCUCCACAUUGCUCCUUCCUCCAGGCGAGGUGUCCUCAAGUAAACACUUCCCUCAGAGUCAACAGUCUUCAAUGAGCACAAAUGAGAUAAUUCCUCAGGAGAGAAACAGAGUGAAGAGUCAGCGCGCUGCCAGUAAUUUCAAUAAAUUCCGUCACAGGAACAGCGGAGUAACCUUUACAAGAGAAAAAAAGAAUAAAGUAGAAAAACAAA